GACGAACGCUGGCGGCGUGCUUAACACAUGCAAGUCGAACGGAAAGGCCCUGCUUUUGUGGGGUGCUCGAGUGGCGAACGGGUGAGUAACACGUGAGUAACCUGCCCUUGACUUUGGGAUAACUUCAGGAAACUGGGGCUAAUACCGGAUAGGAGCGCCUGCUGCAUGGUGGGGGUUGGAAAGUUUCGGCGGUUGGGGAUGGACUCGCGGCUUAUCAGCUUGUUGGUGGGGUAGUGGCUUACCCAGGCUUUGACGGGUAGCCGGCCUGAGAGGGUGACCGGCCACAUUGGGACUGAGAUACGGCCCAGACUCCUACGGGAGGCAGCAGUGGGGAAUAUUGCACAAUGGGCGGAAGCCUGAUGCAGCAACGCCGCGUGCGGGAUGACGGCCUUCGGGUUGUAAACCGCUUUCGCCUGUGACGAAGCGUGAGUGACGGUAAUGGGUAAAGAAGCACCGGCUAACUACGUG
rnacentral:rRNA from 1 species